GAUGCAACAAAUUUAAGUUGAAGAAUAUAUCAGAUGCAAACAAUCCGAAUAGUGGUCAUUCUUUUUAUUCCAUGAUCUGGGUAAUAAAUGAGAUAGAGUUUCUAUGUUAUGAUUCGGAUCAUAGUAUAUUUAUAUUGGAUAUUUUUUGUUAGCAAACUUUUGUUAUGUGCACCUAAUUAGUUCAAUAAAUUGAAGUGUUUAAUAGUACUAGUUUCCUGACCGUUUGCUCUAAUUAGUUAGCUGAAACCUUAGGUUGGUGAAACAAGAUUAAAGUUUGUUUUUUUUGUAGGUGGACAAUGUUGCUGGCCCCGGCUUUGACUACCUCGACGAUGACAGUUAAAUUCCGACUCGGCUGCAAAUCUCUUGCGAGUUCCUCGGUUCAUCCAUCUGUUCUCCGGCUCCCUUUGUUCUCUAUGAUGCCACAGCCAUCAAAUCGUGGCGGUGGACAAUGUUGCUGGCCCCGGCUUUGACUACCUCGACGAUGACGGUUAAAUUCCGACUCGGCUGCAAAUCUCUUGCGAGUUCCUCGGUUCAUCCAUCUGUUCUCCGGCUCCCUUUGUUCUCUAUGAUGCCACAGCCAUCAAAUCGUGGCGACUUGGCAGCCAGCCCGGGAAUGAGCUGACUAGUACUGUCAUUAUUAUGCUACGUCCUAGAUGGAAGUUCAAGUCCCUGUAUGGCAGAGUUCCUUGUGCAAUACACUUUGCCUUCUACGGCAUUUUAGGAUGGAAUUUCUUGUUGGUGGCGAGAUGGAUAAGGGACGUCUGGAUCCGUUUCUUUGUUGGUUGGAUGGCAUCCUAGCUAAUCACAGUGGUGAAGAUGAAGUCAGGUGAGACAAGAUGACUUCGUCCACUCAGAACGUCUCCGGUGGCAAGAACGGCUACAGCUCGUAGAAAUGCUUCUCCGUGUUGCUGGCCUACCGAUGGUUGAUAACUGCAUGGCUUGAUACAACAGAUGUGUCGUUGCUUAUGGGAAGAGUGGACUGAAAUGUGGCAACUUCACUUUGGCAGAUCCUUGGGUGGAGGUGACCAAGGAGACGUGUGACAAAGCAAAGGGCAUGGCGAUUCGGUCCGGGCAGUUCCGUCUUAAGCAGUGCUGCUGCCAUUGGGCUCGCUGGCUGCGUGGUGGUAGGAUCGGAUGGCUCUCGACCUCCGGACUCCGCCACUCGGUAGUGGCCACCGCCAUGUUGCUAAACUGGGCGUGGACCGGCUGUAGCUGCUUGAGGAAUGGGACAGCCUGGACACGUGGGGCACCAGCCCGGAGCCUGACAUGGAGGUUAUCAGGUCUGACCCCGAGCUCAGCCUGACCAGAAGGUUGCAUCCAUGAGUGCAUCGCAAGAAAGUUGAUAAAUUUGGUAAGGCUUCCGGUGGCGAGAUGAGAAUGGACGCCCAGAUCCAUUUUCUUUGUUGAUUGGAUUGCGUCCUAGCUACUCGCAGUGGUGAAGAAAAAGGCAUGUGAGACAAGAAAUGGCUGGCGUUCGUCUCUUGCUGCUUAGUGACCUAAGAUGUCUAGAAUCAGUGUUGCUUGAUUACUACUGGGUCUGUAACUGGAUGCUGAUUGUAUUUUGAAGCUGCACAUGUACCACUUGUAUAGGAGAACAAUUUGUGCAGGGCGUGUAUAGUAUUGGAAAGUCAUGCUGUGACUUGGUGUCCCGUCUUAUGUC